AGUCGAUCGCUUUGUGGUUCAACUGAUUUGAAGAGCUUGCUCAGAUAUGACGAUGGACAUUGCAAAGAGUGGCGAACGGGUGAGUAACACGUGGGAAACCUACCUCUUAGCAGGGGAUAACAUUUGGAAACAGAUGCUAAUACCGUAUAACAAUAGCAACCGCAUGGUUGCUACUUAAAAGAUGGUUCUGCUAUCACUAAGAGAUGGUCCCGCGGUGCAUUAGUUAGUUGGUGAGGUAAUGGCUCACCAAGACGAUGAUGCAUAGCCGAGUUGAGAGACUGAUCGGCCACAAUGGGACUGAGACACGGCCCAUACUCCUACGGGAGGCAGCAGUAGGGAAUCUUCCACAAUGGGCGAAAGCCUGAUGGAGCAACGCCGCGUGUGUGAUGAAGGGUUUCGGCUCGUAAAACACUGUUGUAAGAGAAGAAUGACAUUGAGAGUAACUGUUCAAUGUGUGACGGUAUCUUACCAGAAAGGAACGGCUAAAUACGUGCCAGCAGCCGCAGUAAUACGUAUGUUCCAAGCGUUGUCCGGAUUUAUUGGGCGUAAAGCGAGCGCAGACGGUUAUUUAAGUCUCAAGUGGAAGCCCUCAGCUCAACUGAGGAAUUGCUUUGGAAAGUGGAUGACUUGAGUGCACUAGAGGAAAGUGGAACUCCGUGUGUAGCGGUGAGAUGCGUAGAUAUGUGUGAGAACACCAUUGGCGAGCGCCGCUUUCUGUACUGUAACUGACCGUCCACUCCUCGCCAGUGGUUGUUCGC
rnacentral:rRNA from 1 species